rnacentral:rRNA from 1 species
AAAUUGAAGAGUUUGAUCAUGGCUCAGAUUGAACGCUGGCGGCAGGCCUAACACAUGCAAGUCGAGCGGCAGCGGGGAGUAGUUUACUACUUUGCCGGCGAGCGGCGGACGGGUGAGUAAUGUCUGGGAAACUGCCUGAUGGAGGGGGAUAACUACUGGAAACGGUAGCUAAUACCGCAUAACGUCUUCGGACCAAAGUGGGGGACCCUCGGGCCUCACGCCAUCGGAUGUGCCCAGAUGGGAUUAGCUAGUAGGUGGGGUAAUGGCUCACCUAGGCGACGAUCCCUAGCUGGUCUGAGAGGAUGACCAGCCACACUGGAACUGAGACACGGUCCAGACUCCUACGGGAGGCAGCAGUGGGGAAUAUUGUACAAUGGGCGCAAGCGUGAUGCAGUCAUGCCGCGUGUGUAAAGAAGGCCUUCGGGUUGUAAAGCACUUUCAGAGAGGAGGAAGGAAUAAAGGUUAAUAACC